CUUAUAAGAGACCUGAGACAGCUACUUUGCCCCUUUUACCAUGUGAAAAAACCAAGUUGCCACCUAUGACACUGAAAGCAGGCCCUCAAGAGAAAUCAAAUCUAUUGAUGCUUUGAUCUUAGACUACCCAGUCUCUACAACUGUAUUACUGCCAAGAAAAAGAGGACAGUCUGCAGAUGAGAAGUCCCAGAUAAAAAUCACAGCCAAGUCACUUAGAACAUUGUGUGCACUUAGGUCUUUUGGUCUUGGCAGCAAAAAAACUGACUAAAUAAACACUGUGAAAAAUCAUACGUCAACAAGUUGGAAAAUGCAAAAGAAAUGGAUAAAUUUCUAGAGACGUACAGCCUACCAAGACUGAAUCAAGAAGAAAUAGAAAUAGAUGUAAAAAUCAAUAAUGAAUACAGAAAAACAAGCAGUAAUUAAAAAAAUUCUCAAGGGAAAAAAGCUCAGAACUGGAAGACUUCACACAUGAACUCUACCAAACAUUAAAGUAGAAUAAAUAUUAAAAACAAAAAAAGUAGAAUAAAUAACCAGUCCUUCUCAAAUUCUUUGAAAAAACUGAAGAGGAAAAACAUUUCCAAACUUAUUUUAAGAGGCUAGCAUUGCCUCCAUAUCAAAGUCAAAUAAGAGCAGAAGAAAAGAAAAUCAUAGCCCAAUAUAUCCUUGUAAACUCAGAUGAAAAUCCUCAACAAAAUACUAGCAAACCUAAUUCAUUAGAAUAUUAAAAGGAUCAUUCACCAUGAACAAGUGGGACUUAUCAAGGAUGAUUCAACAUACACAAUCAAUAAAUAGGAUAUACUACAUGGACAGAACGAAAGGGGGUAUGAUGCCUCAGGCCUCUGGGAAUUAGCCAUAGACUCAACCCUUCUUGGUAGAAGUCAGACCUUUGGAGGUUGCUGACCCCAAGACCUAGGAAAAGUAAUGAAUCAGCAGGAAAAGAUAACAUGGCUUUUCAUUUCCUGCUAUCUUGUCUCCCUGUUCCACCUGAAAAGUGCUUUUGUAGAUAUUCCAUUUACUACCUCCCAAGGCUAUGUGGAGGAUGAAUGCUGUGAAUGCUACAGUGUAAUCAUACAUAUAAACAACCACACAUGAACAGGCACAUGCAAAA